GUGCUUGCUUCAGCAGCACAUGUACUAAAACUGGAACAAUAAAGAGAAAAUUAGCAUGGCCCCUGCGCAAGGAUGUCAUGCAAAUUUGUGAAACAUUGCAUAUUAAA
ensembl:snRNA U6 U6 spliceosomal RNA